rfam:Gossypium raimondii Chr01_contig_984, whole genome shotgun sequence.
CACAGCACCCAUCACACUAUGGGAGCUGGCCAUGCCCGAAGUCGUUACCUUAACCGUAAGGAGGGGGAUGCCGAAGGCAGGGCUAGUGACUGAAGUGAAGUCGUAACAAGGUAGCCGUACUAGAAGGUGCGGCUG